GUGAGUGGUCUAACUGAUGCUUCUAGGGCUUCAGGAUUUCAGAGGAGGCUUCAGAGGAGAAGAGAGAUGUCCAGUGUAUGCUAAGAAACUGAUAUUUUCUGUUGGUGAUUAAGCCAGGAAAGAAGCAAAGAAAAACACUGUUUUCUAUAUAGGAGCCAACUAAGAGAUCGCUGGGAUUCCAUUUUUCACAUCUUACAUUUUGAUUAAAUUAUUCAGUAUCAACUCAACUGCUCUUCUAAUCAUCAUGCCAGCUUUGUUUUACCAAGGCAUCUCUCAGAAGCCUGGAGGAAAUGAAAAAUUUUCAUGGAAAGAUACAACUUUAAUUGAAACUGGAGUAAUUGGAAUAAUUUUCAUAAUAAUAAUGAUAAUCCCAUUUUUCUGUUGCAUAAAAAGAUGCAAAGAACGGGGUUUUCGCCAAGGACACUCAG